rnacentral:rRNA from 1 species
CGGCAGGCCUAACACAUGCAAGUCGAGCGGAAACGAGUUAACUGACCCUUCGGGUGACGGUUAACGGCGUCGAGCGGCGGACGGGUGAGUAAUGCCUGGGAAAUUGCCCUGAUGUGGGGGAGUAACCAUUGGAAACGAUGGCUAAUACCGCAUAAUGCCUUCGGGCCAAAGAGGGGGGGGAACCGUUCGGGGGCCUCUCGCGUCAGGAUAUGCCCAGGUGGGAUUAGCUAGUUGGUGAGGUAAUGGCUCACCAAGGCGACGAUCCCUAGCUGGUCUGAGAGGAUGAUCAGCCACACUGGAACUGAGACACGGUCCAGACUCCUACGGGAGGCAGCAGUGGGGAAUAUUGCACAAUGGGCGCAAGCCUGAUGCAGCCAUGCCGCGUGUGUGAAGAAGGCCUUCGGGUUGUAAAGCACUUUCAGCAGUGAGGAAGGCGGGUACGUUAAUAGCGUGCUCGUUUGACGUUAGCUGCAGAAGAAGCACCGGCUAACUCCGUG